CAUGUUAUCAAGUGAUUAAGGCAGGGCUAA
rnacentral:piRNA from 1 species